GGAUUUUUUUUUUUUUUUAAAUAAACUUUUAAACUGUUUUCUUUGUUCCCUUAGAAAGAAGUGGGGAAGAAAUUCAGAGAGAAUUAUCAAUAUUCCUCAAUGUUGCUCCAAUUUGGAACACAAACACCAAAUGUGCCAAAAUUCCAGUGUGCCAAAACACUGGAAUUUUCAGGACAAUGAGAAUUCCAAAUUUUGUGGUUGGCUUCUGCUUUGCUCCUGGCAGUCCUUGUGGUCCCCUCUCAACUGCUUCCCCUUUCCUUUCUUUGAUGAAAUACUACUCCUUGCACGCUGAUGGUGGCCAGGUGCUCCAGUGGAGGAAGCAUUUCAUGAACACUGAGGUGUCAUCUGUUGCUGCAUCCUUCCAGAUGGCUUAAAACCCUGGACAUUAGCAUGAGAUGGCCAUGCUUCGGUUGCCUUACACUUUCAGCAAAUGACAUUGAAUAUUAGUGAUUCUGCCAUAUCUGCAGGAAACGGUUUGAAGCUGCAAUUCUGCAGAAUGAUCACAUAUUCUGGAGUCUUACACUACUAAAUUGAAGUCUUUCUGACCUAAAAAUUAGAUCCCUGGCACUGCAAAUGAUGCCACAGUCAUUGUUUGUUCUGCAGCAAUAUCUGAAUAAAUACGUGCCAA
rnacentral:lncRNA from 1 species